CCACUGUCCAAAGCCCGUGUGACCCUCGGCUCGUCUGUGCGCGCGACAGCGGCACAACAGAAAAAAACCAACGGCAAAAAGGGUGCGACGGUGACCGCGAUCAUCCACGUCGUGAACGACGGACGGUAGAAGUCGGGCGGGGCGAGGAGUGGACGACGGCCGGCUAGACGGUGGCGGCGGUUAAUGACUUCCGAUAAGCUCGCCGCGCAAUUAUGUAUUGGUAAAACACUUAAAAAGAAACUUAACUUUUGUAGAUAGCCUUUUUAUAGAGUUAGUUCUUCUGAAAAUGUUGACGUGACAAAUGCUUAUUUUCAUUAAAUUUAUGAUGUUUUAAUAAUUUUUUAAAAAGUUUAGAGAAGAAGUGUCUACGGUCAAUUAGAUAUGAUAAUAUCGACCAAUUGCCAAUUACACCCUGCUAUUACAAGCCUGAAGUAUGAUAAUAAUAGGCACUUUUCUCUGUACUUUAAAAAACUAUUAAAAAUCACGAACAAAAUGGUGAUCUUUAAAUUUUUCAAAAAUAAUAAAAUAGAAAGUUAUUUCUUGAAGUUUUUUAUCGACAAAACUUAAAAAUGUAAUUUAAGUAUAAAUAACCGUAUCCCUUAUCCCUGCAAAUAAUAUAUAUAUAUGUAAAAAAAAUAAAUAGAAUUUGAUUAUAUUUAUGGCAUUAUGAUAUCGUAAUGACACCUCUCGCAACCCCUAGACGCGGCCCGAGGUAGUCCCACGAAGAUAUACCUCUUGAAUAUCUCCGGAAUUAAUAAGAAAAUUCAAAUUCUGAUUUUUUCACAUUAUUCACAGGGAUGAGAACUGCGAACAAUUAAAGUUUUAAGAUAGCCAUUCUGUAGAGUUUAUUUUUCUGAAAAUCGAUGUUAUCUAUGGAACGACCGACCGAGUUACGUGUUAACAUCGGUUUUCACACGGAUUAGUAGAAUGUUAAACGGCUGUUACUUAGAAACUAUUCAUCGGAUAUAAACGUGUGAUACAUUAAAUUGUCCAGAAAAAUAAACUCUACACGCUAGCUAUAUUAUCAUUUUUGGAAAAUAAUAAAAUAAAGUUAUUUAAUAUUUAAUAAUGUCAGUUUUGGUCGUGUAAUAAUAAUAAGACUGGUUAAAGAUUCAAUAUCAAAACAAACAAAAAACACUUGAUCGUUUCAUUGAAAACCGGUCCAAUGUGUGUUAGGUACUUAACGAAAAACGAGCCACCACCUGUGUCUGCUAAACAAACACAUACCACGCAAAGUAUACAUACACCUGGUCUACCUACCUAUGUUUAUAUUUGGUUUAGACCAUUAAAGAUACUUAGUUUAUGAGGAUAAUACAUUAAUUCGUUAAAAUAAUUUAAAUUAAUAUUUACCGUGACCGGUAAAAAGCAGAGGUAACGAUUUUAGACGUGUUUUCAAAUACACGUGUACAUUAAGUCCGUGAAUUUGACAUAAACACAUCGACACAUUAUAAUAUUCUCUCGAAUUCGGCCCAUGCACCCGUGCUAUCACUAUUGGAUCCCAAAAAAGAUAACAUUUUCAUAUUCUAUUAAAUUAGUUUAAAGUCAAUUUAAUUUUGUAUAUUUUAAUAUUUACAUUAUAAAUGUAACAGUCAAAAGUUUUCAAAUAAAUAACAAAACUAACAGAAAUCAAAAGUAUUUUUGAUUAGUAGAAAAAUACAAUUAAAAGUUUAGAUUUAAGUUAAAGUUCAAAAGAAGUAGUGAGAUAGCAAGCAGAAUUAAUCGUAGAAGAGACACGAAGGGGUAUUGAUAAUUUAACCAACGUACACGCAAAAUGAAAAUUUAAUUGAAUAUACUUAUAUACAAUUAAAGUAGGUAAGUACCUACCUAUUGCUUUUGUAUUGAUUUACAACAAAAAAAAUAAAUACCUACGUUAUUAUUUUAUAUUAAAAAUGAAUUUUGAAUCGUAUUUAUUUUAUAAAUAAGUUUUAUGAAAUAAUUUAGAUACUUUCUUAUUAUCGAACUUAUUAAAAAAUAAAAAAAAAUAAUAGUAUUUAUCUGAAAGUCGAGGAUGUCUUAUACUUAAAUUAUUGUGCACUUUAUAAUAGUUGCUGCUAUCUAUACGAAAAUUCUGUAACUAACAAGUACUAUAUUGUUCAAAAUAAAUUCAUCCAGAGCGUGUUACGUUAUAGCAUUAGAAUUUUUAAAGAUCAAUGACAGAUAAUUAUUUUAUAAUUUACGUAAAUUAACAACCUAUAGUCAAAACUAUAGUUACAAAAUAUUUAUAAUUAUUUGUUUUUUUUUUAUUGAGUAACUAUUGUUAUUAAUUGUUGGCAUGUUAUUUUCGGUUAGGUAAUAAAUUAUUUAAAUAUCGUUAUUUAGAAAAAAAGAUAGAAGAAGCACAAAAUGUACGAUCAUAAAAAACAAAUAUGGUGCGAAUUUAUCUACUAUAGUUUAGUUAAGGAGUCUAAAGGGUUGUAACAGUCUCCUCAUAAAACGUGUUUAUAUAUGCAGCACACAGAAUGAAUACUAUUUAAUAAUUGGAGUUUUAACUUUGUUUCAGGUUAUUUAAUCUACUCUUGAAAGACCGUUUUUCUCCAUUGAACGUGAAAAUGUUAUAGGAGGAGUGCAAAGCCAGGAAAUAACUUCAAUGUGUUAGCCGCAGAUAUUAUAAAUUUGAAAAAGAACUGAUAAGGCAGAUCGAUGUGCCACUGUUGUAACUUGUAAGUUGGGAAUAGUUGGAUAUAUACAAUUAUUUUAUUUAUACCUGUGACCAACGAUAAACCAUUGUUAACGAAAAACGGUUUAGAACUAAGUUUGGUCAUAAAUGUUUUGAGAGAUAGUAAUAUUUACGAUUUCGUUAAAAUUUGAUAUUCAAAUUCUAAAAAAAUAACAAAAAUAAAAAUAUUCAUCACACUAAAUAUUUUUUUUCGGUCACUAAGUACAACUCGUAAUGAACUUCCUGUUCAAUUUUUAAGCGUUUCUGUUUAAUCUAACAAUUUUAUCCACAGAGUGUAUACCAAAUAAAAAUUACGUAAAUAACUCGUAAAAAUUAAAGUGCCUAUAAAUAACUUAAAUAUUUUGAAAAUUUUACGUCCAGAUAAAAUAAAUUUAAUUUUUGUGUCAACAUUUAAAAUCUCUACGAAUAUUUUUAACUGAAUUACAAAAAAAAAAAAAAAAAAUUUGAAAAAAAUAAAAGUAUCAUAUACAUAAAUUUUGCAGUUCUUCAAUCUAAAAAUGACUUUCUCACUCACUAACUAAAUUAAAAGUGCAAUAAAAAAGAUUUCUUGUCGUUUUUUAUUUAUAUUUCUGAUAGAAAAUAUAGGGUGUAAAUAUUUUAAAUAAUGAAAUCGUACGUUAUAAAUUUAUUUAUUUCUCAUUUUUCGUUUUUUUUCAGUUUUUACAAUUAUUGUAAAAAGUGAAAACCCCUUGGAAAAUCAAAAAUUGACCUCCUCAAUGCACUAACUAUUAUGAAAUUUCCUUUCAGAAAAGGUGCUACACAUUGGAGCAAGAUUUUUGGUAAAAAAGUUUAUCACAGACAAAAAAAUACAAAAAAAACAUACAUCAUAGUAAAACCAAUAAAGCCCUCAUUAUGCUUUGAAUCUAAAAGGAGUUAUUCAUAAAAAUGAUGAUAUAAUACCUCCCGUUGCCUUUAAUCCUCUCAAGGGGAUUCAUCUGUCAGAGAGAUGAAUAUUCUAUGCAAUGUAAAAGCUGUG